UACGAAGGGGACUAGCGUUGUUCGGAAUUACUGGGCGUAAAGCGCGCGUAGGCGGAUCGCUAAGUCAGGGGUGAAAUCCCAGGGCUCAACCCUGGAACUGCCUUUGAUACUGACGAUCUGGAGAUCGGGAGAGGUUGGUGGAAUUCCGAGUGUAGAGGUGAAAUUCGUAGAUAUUCGGAGGAACACCAGAAGCGAAGGCGGCCAACUGGCCCGAUACUGACGCUGAGGCGCGAAAGCUAGGGGAGCAAACGGG
rnacentral:rRNA from 1 species